rnacentral:rRNA from 1 species
GACGAACGCUGGCGGCGUGCUUAACACAUGCAAGUCGAACGGAAAGGCCCUGCUUUUGUGGGGUGCUCGAGUGGCGAACGGGUGAGUAACACGUGAGUAACCUGCCAUUGACUGUGGGAUAACUUAAGGAAACUGGGGCUAAUACGGGAUAGGAGCUCCUGCUGCAUGGUGGGGGUUGGAAAGUUUCGGCGGUUGGGGAUGGACUCGCGGCUCAUCAGCUUGUUGGUGGGGUAGUGGCUUACCAAGGCUUUGCCGGGUAGCCGGCCUGGGCGGGUGACCGGCCACGCUAGGACUGAGAUACGGCCCAGACCCCUACGGGAGGCAGCAGUGCAGAAGAUUGCACAAUAGGCUGAAGCCUGAUGCAGCACCGCCGCGUGCGGGAUGACAGCAUUCGGGUAGUAAACCGCUUUCGCCUGUGACGAAGCGUGAGUGACGGUAAUGGGUAAAUAAGCUCCGGCUAACUACGUG